AAUCCUAUCAUAAAGCAAAGUUUUCUUUGCAUUAAGGAGAAUCAAACCAGGAAACCUAUCUUAUAAAUUUUUCUUUACCCUGUUUUCAAAGUUGUUUCCUUCCCUCAUAGGAAGCAUGUCCUAGAGGACUCAUCACUUUUUGUUCUUUUUUACUGCAUCAUUGUAUUUGUUUUUUACACCCUAUAAAGGUAUGCUACUUUAGAACAAUUUCACAAUCCAUCAUAUAGUUGGAUUUUUCUACUUCAGUUCUGGUUCAAUUCAGCCCAUUUAGUUUGAAUUAUUUGUGACCUAUUAGAUUAGAUCUUGCACAGUGGUGAGUUAAAAUAAUUGAUGAUUCAAGUAAUCAGUGAAAUUUUGAUAAGUUAAUCUUGCUUUCCUUUAUUUGACAUCAAGCAAUUUCUAAUAUGUCCAAAAUUAUCGGUCCUGAAGAUUUAGCUAAAGGAGAAUCAAGAAGGCAGGUGUUUUAACCUCUUUGCAUUCAACUCUACUAAUUUUAUGAGCAUUCAUCUUGAUUCGAUACCCUAGGAUGAAUUUCAAGUUCUGCCAUGAUCCUAAAACACACUGGAUUCCAACUUUAGGGUCUGAAAAUCUCUGAUUGACCGGUAUCAUCAAUAUAAUCGCUUAAAUUUUGGUCAUCCAUAUUGCUGAGUAAUAGCAAGGUUGUGUUUGACACAACUGUCAUCACUAACUGUGACCUGCUUUGUUUGGUGUUUUGGCCUUUGGGGAUCUGGUUAGUUGCUUCUAUGUGAUGAUGUUGUUGCUAAUGCCGGAUAAUGAUGUUGAGAUGAAGGAUGCUAGUGUGGUUAGUGCUGAAAAACAAACUGCUAAGAAGUCUGAAAAGAAAAUGGGCUGAAUUCUUCAAGGCUGCAGGGGAAGUUGUUGACGUGCGUUUGGCUAUAGCAGGAGAUGGAAGCUUCAAGGGAUUUGGCCAUGUCGAAUUUGCUACUGAGGAAAAUGCUGAGAAAGCACUUGAAUUGAAU